rnacentral:rRNA from 1 species
AUUGAACGCUGGCGGAAUGCUUUACACAUGCAAGUCGAACGGCAGCACGGACUUCGGUCUGGUGGCGAGUGGCGAACGGGUGAGUAAUACAUCGGAACGUGCCCAAUCGUGGGGGAUAACGUAGCGAAAGCUACGCUAAUACCGCAUACGAUCUCAGGAUGAAAGCGGGGGAUCGCAAGACCUCGCGCGAUUGGAGCGGCCGAUGGCAGAUUAGGUAGUUGGUAGGGUAAAGGCCUACCAAGCCGACGAUCUGUAGCUGGUCUGAGAGGAUGAUCAGCCACACUGGGACUGAGACACGGCCCAGACUCCUACGGGAGGCAGCAGUGGGGAAUUUUGGGCAAUGGACGCAAGUCUGAUCCAGCCAUUCCGCGUGCAGGAUGAAGGCCCUCGGGUUGUAAACUGCUUUUGUACAGAACGAAAAGGCUCUGGUUAAUACCUAGGGCUCAUGACGGUACUGUAAGAAUAAGCACCGGCUAACUACGUGCCAGCAGCCGCAGUAA